rnacentral:lncRNA from 1 species
GAAACUGCAAGCCCUCCUUUCUGUUUCUGUUGUAGUGAAACCUUCCACCGUCUCCUUCUCGGAUCAUGAAGGGCAAAAACAAAAAAACAAAAAAAAUCACAAAACAAAAAACAAAACAAAAAAAGAUGUUAAGAUCCAAGCAACAACAACAACAAAAAAAAAAAUACCAACCAAACCAAGAGGCAUCCAACCAAGUCCAAGUCCACGUCUGGCGUACACCCGCACCGAGGGAGCUCGUCCCCCAGGGGGCGCCGGAGAGUGGCUUUGCCUGGCUGGCGGUGCAGUGGGGACGCGGCCAGGCACUGGGGAAGACCUGAAGGGGAAACGUGGCCAGUGGGUGUGGGGCGGGGGGGCUCCGGUAUCUAUCCAGUCUUCCUUUCCCACCCUGCUCCCCAGAUAGGGGGUUCCUAGGGUGGACCAGGCCCCUGAGAAGGAACGGCCAGCUGACUUGGGCUGCUGAGCCCUGAAGGGGCUGGAGCAGUUAGGGGCCAGCGGCUUAUCACUCAUCCCAGGUCUCCAGCCUGGCCUCAUUGAAUGUGCUGCCAGUGCCGUCAGCUAUCCAACCAGCCGCCCUGGGUUCCAACUCCCGAUGCAAAGGGCUGACACGGCUCCAGAAUUCUGGGGCACCCCAUGCUCCGCUCCCCUAUGUGAGAAAGCUUCCGGCUACAGAGAACAAAGAAAGCCCAGCCAGUGGGGACGCAGUCCUCACGCUGUGAACGUGGACAGGUGGGCCCUCGGGCACAGUGUUGUUUGUUGUGGCAGCCUCCCAGAAGGAGGCGCUGUGGGCUCGAAGGCCAGCCUCCGCUGUCUGCUAGGACCCAGCCCUUCUUUCCACUCCAUCUGUAGGCUCGGUUCUGCUGGGGAGUGGGGAAUGAGACGGGCCAGCCCCAGGCUGCACCUCGAGGUUGGGAGCCAAGGUGCUAUGGGUCUGGAGGGCCACAGUCAGAGCAGGACCCAUGGGAAAGACAAGGGAUGGGGAAGGUCUGGGCUGGCCCUGCCACAAUGGAGGCCGGCUGGGCUGCAGCCCAUUUGCUCCCUGAGCAGGUGAAGUAAGGGAGUCAGAGGAAAGCAGCAGGCCCAGAGGAUGGAACAGGGAAGAGGUAUCGAGAAGCCCCUGGGCAAGGCAGGGAUAGGUGGAGUAGGGUUAACAGCAAAAAAUUAACAGAAACCAAGGCUCCCGACGCGGCACCACUGUCUCAUGACACCUCGAAAUAAAUCACCUCACUUUCUAUCCAGCAUCAGCCACAGAAGCUAUGGAAACGGAACCCUCCUUUUCUAUUCCUGUUGUACAUAGCCCCGCGCCUGCCUCCGGCUCUGUCCUCUGUACAGAGCCCCUUGCCUUCUGCUGUUUCGGACCCUUUUCCCGCAGCAGCUCGGACCCCUCCUCCCAGCCCCUCCCAGGACUGCAGCCGAGCCCCAGGCUUCCUUUCUUACCAUUCUGUAUGCUUCCACGGUGUGACCAUUCAAAUUAACAGUAUUAUUAUUAAGAUUAAUAAAGAUUUCUUUCUUCAAACCAGGAA